CGGAGGAUCCAAGCGUUAUCCGGAUUCAUUGGGUUUAAAGGGUGCGUAGGCGGAAUGAUAAGUCAGUGGUGAAAUCCUUCAGCUUAACUGAAGAACUGCCAUUGAUACUGUCAAUCUUGAGUACAUUUGAUGUGGGCGGAAUGUGUCAUGUAGCGGUGAAAUGCUUAGAUAUGACACAGAACACCGAUUGCGAAGGCAGCUCACAAAACUGUAACUGACGCUGAGGCACGAAAGCGUGGGUAUCAAACAGGAUUAGAUACCCUGGUAGUCCACGCUGUAAACUAUGAUUACUCGAUGUUUGCGAUACACUGUAAGCGUCUAAGCGAAAGCGAUAAGUAAUCCACCUGGGGAGUACGCUCGCAAGAGUG
rnacentral:rRNA from 1 species